rnacentral:rRNA from 1 species
GCCAUUAGAAAUACUUCAUGGAUCUCAGAAGCUAAGCAGGGUCAGGCCUGGUUAGUACUUGGAUGGGAGACCACCUAGGAAGAACAGGUGCUAUAGGCA